AUUCCCGGAUUAGGGUUUUGGUUGAUCUUGUGUCUAAAGUUCAAAGCUUAAUCCUUGUUUUGUUUUCAGAAAAUCGAAUAAUGAUUUCAGUACUUCUAUUCUAGAUAGGAAGAAGUCUCUGAAUAGACUUGCCGUCGAGGAGGCCAUGCCUCGAAGCCAAGUGGUAAACAAGUUAAGAAAUGGAAAGAAGCCCAAUGAGACACCAAAUAGGAUUUGUAUGUUGUUUGAAAAUAACAGCUAUUAAGCUUAGUUAUAUUUACAAAUUUAUAUCCAGGUAUACAACCCUCGUAAUCAUAUGUGUUGCGAUUUGCUAGACAGUUAAUUUUAGAAAAAAUUACGCUUAGACAUACUUUACCUCUUCUCCAUAACAGUCUAGCA
rnacentral:lncRNA from 1 species